rnacentral:rRNA from 1 species
GAUGAACGCUGGCGGCGUGCCUAAUACAUGCAAGUCGAGCGGACGGACGAUGCGCUUGCUUCUCUGUUGUUAGCGGCGGACGGGUGAGUAACACGUGGAUCCCCUACCUAUAAUACUGGGAUAACUUCGGGAAACCGGAGCUAAUACCGGAUAAUAUUUUGAACCGCAUGGUUCAAAAGUGAAAGACGGUCUUGCUGUCACUUAUAGCUGGAUCCGGGCUGCAUUAGCUAGUUGGUACGGUAACCGCCUACCAAGGCAACGAUGCAUAACCGACCGGAGAGGGGGGUCGGCCACACGGGAAGGGGGACAGGGACAAGAGGCCUACGGGAGGGAGCAGUAGGGAAUCGGACGCAAUGGGGGAAAGUAUGACGGAGCAAGGCCGCGCGAGUGAUGAAGGUCUUGGGAGCGGAAAAAUCGGUUACGAGGGAAGAACAGAUUUGGAAGGAAACGAGGAGAGCGUGACGGUACUGAAUAAGAAAGCAACGGCUAACUACGUG